UUUUUUUUUUUUUUAAUCACUUCCUGGUUUGUCUCGGGACUGUUUACAUCAGGUGAAAUCUACAUCCUGAUAAACGGAGAGAGCGCGUGCGUUUCUGCUUUUGUCCCCUGCCAGGACGCAGUGAUCUGGAUUGUUCUGUUUCAACACACGCACGCGGUAGAUUAAAAACAUGUCCCCGGCCGCUGCCUUCCACGCGCAGCUCGCCUCCAUCAUGGAGGUGCUGGCCAACACGGCGGUGGCGGAGAUCUGCGAGCUCGUAGACAGCGGUUACUCGGUGCUGCAGCUGGAGAUCUCGCGGAGCCGCAAAGAGAACGAGGUGCUGCGGAGAAAACUGCGGCUCAUGGAGCUCCGAACUGCCCGCGCGACCGCCUUGCGAGCCGCGGCCACCGCAAGCGGCACCGCGCUGCUGCACGCGAGCGGCCGCGCUCGAGCUCAUCUGCCUUCUCAUCACCCUGGCAACGAGCCGAGGAGGAACGGCACACCUGGAGGUCAGGUGUCUUUGUCCAGAGCGUCCAACCCGGAGACUCUGCGGUGUGGAGACAAUCUGUCCUCAGACUCUAGACAAGACACAACACAAGGGACAGCUGCUGCAGGUGAGUCGACCAAACCGACGACCACAGUGAUCAAAGUGGAGGACAACGAUGAGUCUUGGUCCCAAUCUGAGCCGGAGAGAGAUUUCUGUCGUGUUGUUGAUGGACAUUCGAUGGAGACAGAAGCCCCUCCGCCACUGACCAAACAGGAAGAAGCAGACGAAGGCGACAGUUCAGCUCGGUCGUGGGUGAGUGGGGAAGUCAGCUCCACCACCAUGUCCAUCCAAAAAACCCUGAACGCCAGCCAGAGGUCAGAAACCAGCAGUUAUGACUGCCUGAUGUACGAGCCACAGCUCCAACAUGGCUCCCGCAGUACCCAGAAUCCUUUGAGUGAGGAUCCCGGCUGCUCGUAUGUGUUGAACACCAGUGUGAGUGUUUCAGCUGCGUCUGAUUCAGGCGGUAGCAGUUUCCCUUUCACAGUCAGUGAGGAGACUCUGUCGGCAGCAGAGCACAAGCAGCCUGCAGGUUUCCAGAGCAGCCAGCAGAGGGCGCCAUUACCUGCAGAUGAGCCGCAGCUCCCCAUAAGGAAAGACAUGACAGAAAGGCAAAAUGCUUUCAUCAGAAGGGACAGGUGGAGACAUCACGAUGGCGUCAACAGGGCCUCCAGUCACGGCAGGGAGGACAGUGGGGGGAAGGCAUUUGUCUGUAACUGCUGCGGUAAAACUCUGGCCUGCCUGAAGAACCUGAAGACCCACAUGAGGGUCCACACAGGUGAGAAGCCCUUCGUCUGUGCGCUCUGCGGCAAACGCUUCUCCGACUCCAGCAACCUGAAACGCCACCAGAGCGUCCACACUGGAGAGAAACGCUAUGGCUGCGUGCACUGUGGGAAACGCUUCGCCCAGUCAGGAUCCCUGAAGGUCCACAUGACCGUCCACACGGACUGCAAACAGUUCAGGUGCUCUUUCUGCGGCAAAACCUUCAUCUCCGGCAGCCACCUGCGCCGCCAUAUCACUGUGCAUGGAGGAGAGAAACGAUUCGCUCCAGAGUUUCAGUAGUUACAACUAAUCGACUGACAAAUCUUGUUUCAGAGUGAGACAAAGCAGGCAACUGCACUGGGGCCCCCUGUCCCAGUUUUACUGCAAGUCAGUUGGUUUUGAUGACUUGUAAGAAAAUUUGCAUGACUAAAUUACAAAUCUAUAUUGUGAUAGGUGCUCAAGGUCAAAGUCUAGUUUUAAGAGCUUGAUUAUUUCAGUUUAUAUUGCGUUCACAUGGUGCAUAUUCCUCAAUUCAGUUACCACCACCAGACAACCUGGGGCCAAGUGUUUCUCCAGCAGAGGACUACUAUAAUGAAGCUGUCACGGGAUGUCUGCGGUUUGUUCUGGACUGGAGGCGACAGAGAACAUGGACAAUGUGUGACUUUAUUGAUUCUCUCAUCUGUCAAGUCUUCCCUUCCCCACCCCCCAAACUAUAAAAUGUCCAAAAAGUGAAUCACAAGUUCUGAGAGAGGAGGUCUUAAAAUGGUAUUGUUUUGUCCAUCUGAAACCCAAAGAUACAUUUAUUCUCAUACAUGAGAAAGACAAAUAAGUCAGCCCUUACUAUAUACACACACCCUUUUUUUUUGGUAUCUUUUGGCAACAACUUUUUAAAUUUUCUUUGUCGAUCUACUCAGAAGGUGGUGGUGUUAGGGAGGCCCCUUACUCACAGUUUCAUCACCCUCUGAGUGUUGCAUCCUUUUUUUCCCUCUGUUUUAGGGAAAACAAACCAACUGUAUUGUUGCUAAGGUGUUGAUUUGGCUCAGCUGACAUUUUUGUGGACAGAAUUUGUUGUUUUGUACUGUGUCACUUCCUCUUCGCAAAUGCAGUUUUCCACAUGGCGUCUUGAUCUGAGACGUGUUCUCUGCCACAUGACAUCAUUCUGGCCUGUGAGUAACUCUGCAAGUCGACUACUGUUGCCUUAUAAAAACAUGGUAAAUCAGUUUAAGUUUGAAGUUUGAUUUUUCAGUUUGAGAUUGAGAUGUGACUCCGGCUGUGUCCCAGAGCGAAAUCAGGUUGCUGAAAACAAGUUGAUCUUCUAAAUUGUUAAUGUUUUCACAUCAGUUGAAGGAUUAUGUGCUGCUCAAUGUGUUGCAGAUAUUCACUCACCUCAUGUCCAACCAACAAUCUGCAGGUUUGAGCUGAUCUGUUCUGCAGGUGAUUUCACUGAUGACUUCCUGCCCUGCUACAUCAGUGGGAGGAGUCAUAGGUGUGAGUGGCCCUGCGAUGGACUGGCGACCUGUCCAGGGUGUACCCCGCCUUUCGCCCAGCUGGGAUUGGCUCCACCCCCCCGCGACCCUGUACGCAGGAUAAGCGGUUGACGAUGGAUGGAUGGAUUUCACCAGACCAUGAGUACUCUUUACAUUCAACAGCUCAAAAUUGAAAAGAUAACCCUCCAGUAGCAUAGAGUGUUGCUGCUGAAAUCCAUAAUGUAUGACAUUUUCAACCCACCAUCUGUUUUUGUUUUGCUGACUCCACCAUGUUUGAAAAAUAAUCUGCAUGUGUUUGUCUGAAGGUGAACAGUUAUAUCUGCGACUUUUCUCCAAGAAGCUGUUUGUUCAGUAUUUCUCUUAAACGCUGUUUAAACAGAACAUCUGUUGUGUUUACAUUUUGUGAUACAGCCAAUAACUUUUUAUGAUCAUCAUGUCAUUUUGUAAUAAAAGAAGUAUCUGUAUCGCAA